GUUAUCGUUUAUUUGAUAGUACCUUACUACUUGGAUAACCGUGGUAAUUCUAGAGCUAAUACAUGCUAAAAACCCCGACUUCGGAAGGGGUGUAUUUAUUAGAUAAAAAACCAAUGCCCUUUGGGGCUCCUUGGUGAUUCAUGAUAACUUAACGAAUCGCAUGGCCUUGUGCCGGCGAUGGUUCAUUCAAACUUCUGCCCUAUCAACUUUCGAUGGUAGGAUAGUGGCCUACCAUGGUUUCAACGGGUAACGGGGAAUUAGGGUUCUAUUCCGGAGAGGGAGCCUGAGAAACGGCUACCACAUCCAAGGAAGGCAGCAGGCGCGCAAAUUACCCAAUCCCGACACGGGGAGGUAGUGACAAUAAAUACUGAUACAGGGCUCUUUUGGGUCUUGUAAUUGGAAUGAGUACAAUUUAAAUCCCUUAACGAGGAACAAUUGGAGGGCAAGUCUGGUGCCAGCAGCCGCGGUAAUUCCAGCUCCAAUAGCGUAUAUUAAAGUUGUUGCAGUUAAAAAGCUCGUAGUUGAACCUUGG
rnacentral:rRNA from 1 species